UACGUAGGGGGCUAGCGUUGUCCGGAUUUAUUGGGCGUAAAGAGCGUGUAGGCGGCCAGGUAGGUCUGCUGUGAAAACUCGAGGCUCAACCUCGAGACGUCGGCGGAAACCAUCUGGCUAGAGUCCGGAAGAGGAGAGUGGAAUUCCUGGUGUAGCGGUGAAAUGCGUAGAUAUCUGGAGGAACACCGGUGGCGAAGGCGGCAUCCUGGACCAACACUGACGCUGAGAAGCGAAAGCCAGGGGAGCAAACGGG
rnacentral:rRNA from 1 species